AAUCAACGCUGGCGGCGUGCCUAACACAUGCAAGUCGAACGCGAAAGCCCCGCAAGGGGUAAGUAGAGUCGCAAACGGGUGAGUAACGCGUGGGUGACCUGCCUUCGAGCGGGGGAUAACGUCCCGAAAGGGACGCUAAUACCGCAUAACAUCCUGCCUUUGAAGAGGCGGAGAUCAAAGCCGGGGAUCGCAAGACCUGGCACUCGGAGAGGGGCUCGCGUCUGAUUAGCUAGUUGGUGGGGUAAUGGCCUACCAAGGCAACGAUCAGUAUCCGGCCUGAGAGGGCGGACGGACACACUGGGACUGAGACACGGCCCAGACUCCUACGGGAGGCAGCAGUGGGGAAUUGUUCGCAAUGGGCGCAAGCCUGACGACGCAACGCCGCGUGGAGGAUGAAGAUCUUCGGGUCGUAAACUCCUGUCGAAUGGGACGAACGGGUUGCGGGUUAACAGCCCGCGAUCGUGACGGUACCGUUAAAGGAAACCCCGGCUAACUCCGUGCCAGCAGCCGCGGUAAUACGGGGGGGGUAAGCGUUGUUCGGAAUUACUGGGCGUAAAGGGCUCGUAGGCGGCCAACUAAGUCAGACGUGAAAUCCCUCAGCUUAACUGGGGAACCGCGUCUGAUACUGGAUGGCUUGGAUCCGGGAGAGGGAUGCGGAAUUCCAGGUGUAGCGGUGAAAUGCGUAGAUAUCUGGAGGAACACCGGUGGCGAAGGCGGCAUCCUGGACCGGUAUUGACGCUGAGGAGCGAAAGCCAGGGGAGCAAACGGGAUUAGAUACCCCG
rnacentral:rRNA from 1 species